UGGUAAGGCCAUCCGGUCC
rnacentral:misc_RNA from 1 species